UAAUUUCAUAGACGAGAGAGCCACACCCGAAGUUCCCCGAAGUUCAUGCUCGCUGUUUUUUUUCAGUUCUAUCUCAUUGUAUAAACCGGUGUGGCAUUAAAUUUUGCGGUCGAUUAAGAUAGGUUAGCUACAUUAUCAAUACUUUAAAACAUUGUGGAUGGUUGUUUAUAUUAGGUAAGUAUAGCUACAUUAAAAAUACUGUAAAAUAAUUUUAUGGUUGGUUAGCAAAUAACUUUUUAAUUUGUAGCUAUCCAGGGCUAGGAAACCGUUUACAUGAUUUCACAGUAUCUUUAAUGUAGCUAUCCUAACCAAAUAAACCGUCCACAAUUUUUUAAAGUAUUUAUAAUGUAGCCAACCUAACCUAAUUGACCAUUAGUUAUCAUUAGUUACAAUGGGAAAAAAAACAAAAAUAACAACGGAAGAUGCACGAUCGAGCGUUUGGCUCUCUUUAAUUACCAUUAGGCAGUUUAUAUUUACUUGACGAAACAGACAACACAACAGAACCUCUCAAGCACUGAAUAAUAAAUUACAAUUGCUUAUUACAGAAUAACUAGUCGACCUGUGCGGAAUUACGCAGUGCGCACUAAAUCGUUUUAUAUGGCAUUCCAUUCUUUAAAAAUUUGGGAGAAAUUACAUUUUAAAGAAGAAUAGAAAAAAAUGGUGUUAUUCAAUUCUUUGGUUGCACUUAUCUUCAGUAAUAACUGAUGCUAUGAGAAGUAAAUGUAAGAGGUUAUGUUUGUAGGUUAUGUUUGUGAUACAAAAUAUCAACAGUAAUUUGAAAAGUACUUUCUUAUAAGAAAAGUCUGACGUGCCAAAGUUCCCAACCAAUCCGGCAGAAUGGGAUACAAUCGCAAGAAGUUUUCAAUCAAUGUAGAACUUUCCCAAUUGUGGCAGUAGCUUGGACAGUAAACAUGUGGCUAUUAUCAAACUUAUAAUAACCUCAUACUACAUCAACUUCAAAUAAUAUUUAUAAACUGGUUGAGUUUCAGAUGGCAGUGCAAAAGAAGAAUCAGUGUUUUACCAGAAGUUGAAGAAUGGAGAACUUAAACUUCCGAAAAAUUAAGACACUGUUGAAAAUAAUAUGAACUUGGUUUUUGUUGCAGAUGAAACAUUUGCAGUCAAAGAAAACUUGUUGAAAUCCUUCCCCCCGCAAAGACUUUACUCGUUACACAUGGAAAUUGUAUUUUAUAAGUAAUAUAGAUCAUCCCAUACUUGUGAAUGUUUGGAAAACUCUUUGGAGUAACUGAUCACAAAACUCUAAAAAUCUCAGAAUUUUAAUAAACUAUGAAAUAAAAUGAAAAAGUUAUCCCCAAUGAUUGGUAAAUAUCAUUUUCAUCUCAGUUUUGAGUAAGUAGGAUUACAGUAAAAAAUUUUACAAAAAGGGGUUUUUAAUUUUUAUUAAGUCUAGACUUGCUUUUACUAACUUAAAGGUGAGGUAUAAUCCUGAUGAUUACUGGAAAGGUGUAAAUGUAAUCUGGUUGGAUUAUUCAGUGUCAGGGAAUGGGUGUACACUAACAAGGAGAGAAAAUAUGGGCACAAUUUAUGGAAAUUACAAUAGAUAAUGGACAAUGGAAUAUGAGGGAAAUGCUGACUAUUUAGUUGCAGCAAAAUAAAAUCAACUCGAGUCAUAUACUCUCAGACACUACACAAUAAAUUGGUUGUCUGAUUCUGGGAAACUGUGAGAGAGCUGGACAACAACAGAAGAAAAUAAUAAAUUGUGGAUUUACACCUACUCAUGGCUCACGUAGCACUGCACUUAUGUGUAGAGGGGAGGGUUGCUCUUGGGGUGUUGCAGGCUGCUCACAACAGUCUCUUUAACUACCUAGGUAAACGAGGAUGGCUACAAUCUCAACAUAUAUAGUAUUGUGUCCUUCCUGACAUGAUGUUAGUGCUUCGCCUGCUGUUCAACAUCUUCCUUGUGUCCUUCCACUCCCGAACCCGAUAUCAACACACUCAACCGAACGACUUCACAAACACCAUCUAGCCGACCCCCGCAGGGCCACCAAGCUCUCCACUACACACAUCCUACACGACACUUCUCCCCUUAAGAUCCCAACACGUAGUCUUGCAGCCUGCUGGAUACUUUCCUUGCCCUGCUCGAACUGCGAGUUGGCUGUGUGUGUACUAGCUCCAAGCGCAGCCCCUCCCAUUGCUCUCGUCCCUGGUCGUGAGGGUGCUCAAACCCCCUGAAAGGAAGGUUGCCGUGAACUGGCGUUGGUGCUCCCACUGGUGAUAGUCCGGCCAGCUGCUGGUGCAUACCCUUCUGCUCCAGAUUCUCUGCCAGUUGUUCCUGUCUGGACACUGGUUCCUUCGCUGGCUCUGUUGGAACAGUGCACCUGUGUGUGGUCACUGAUACCUUUGCCGGCUCCCUCAGAACCGUCUCGUCGGUAGGCAUAAGCUGGUGCGGGGUGGCACCACCACGUCUGUCUGGUCCACGCACUGCCAUUGGUGCCUGUAGAUGGAAAUGCUUGGUGUGCUGGAUGUGCUACAUUGCUUCUCAGUAAUUUGUCCACGUGACGUCUAUAUGUGUAGCCAUUCUUGUCUUGGGCAGUGUAUGUCACCGGCCUUUGUUUAGCUACAAUUGUUCCUGGUAGCCACUUAUGAAUCCCCCUGUAGUCUCGAAGAAGCACCCGCUGCCCCACUGAGAAAUGCCUGCACAUGUGGCAGUUUGUGACUUCCUUUAAGGUCUCCUCUCAUUUCAAGGUGGGAUUGGGACGUAUUUGGUCCAACGCCGUUCUCAAUGAAUGCCCCAUUAGGAGUUCUGCUGGUGUCUUAUGUGAGUCACCUAGUGGCGUUGUACGCAAUGCCAACAACAUUCACGCAACUCGUGUGUGCCAAUCGCUUUCUCCCAUUUUCCGCAGUUUAUUCUUCACCGUCUGUACCAUGCGCUCUGCUUGACCGUUUGUGGCUGGGUAGAAUGGAGGUGUUCGCUGCAGUGCCACCCCGUUCUUCUGCAGAAAUUCUUCCAAUUCUCGGGAUACGAAAGCUGUCCCAUUGUCUGAAACCAGGUAUGAGGAAUCCCAUGGCAACUGAAGAUCUAUCGCAGCACCUGGAUUACUGCACCUGACGACAUGCUAUGCAUCCUCCUCACCUCCGGCCAUUUGAAGUGUGCAUCCACUACAACGAGGAAGACCUUUCCCUGGAAAGGACCCAGAGCCUAAUCCAUGGCUCCUUCUCUAUUGCCCAUUUUACAUCCUUCACUUUGGGUCGGUUGGCUCUCUGCUGCUGGCAAUCUGGGCAUUGCCCCACCAUCUGCUCAAUAUCCCUGUCCAUUCCUGGCCACCACAUAUAGCUUCGGGCGAUCAUUUUGGAUUUUACGAUACCAUCAUGUGCGGCAUGGAGAACCAUCAACAGUUCCCUGCGGCGCACUUCUGGGAUGAUCACCAUAUUGCCCCACAGGAGACAGCCUUUGUGCAUGGAUAACUCCUCUCGCCUAUUCCAGUAUGGUCGCAACUCCUCGGAUCUCACAUGUCUCCCCUGCCAACUUUGGCUUGUGAGCUGCUUGACUUGACAAAGGAUGGGGUCCGUGGUCGUCAGCCGAGCCAGUGUCUGUGCAUCGAUUGGCGGCUCUGGUAUGGCCUCGAGCAUGAGCAUAUCACCUACUGUUGGUAUAUGCACGUUUCCUGUGGCCAUAGGUAACUGGCUGAGGGCAUCCGCAUGAGGUAUCUUGGUACCAGGCAUGUAAAUUAUCUGAAACUCAAACAUUGAGAGCCAUAGACUCCACCACAAAAGACGUGGGGAUAGUAUGUCUGGGGUUUGCCGCAUGGGGUCCAGCAAUCGCAGCAGCGGCUUGUGAUCUGUCACAAUUGUGAAAUGACGGGCGGUUACAUAUUGCCGGAAUUUUGUAACCCCAAACAUCAUGGCCAGUGCCUCCUUAUCUAGCUGAGAAUAGUUUCUCUCAUGACGUUGUAGUGUGCGUGAUCCAAAAACCACAGGCACUUCUUUUCCAUCAUCUGUGACAUGUGCUAACACUGCACCUACUCCAUAGUUAGAUGCAUCGCAUGUAAGCGUAAGAGGCUUAUGCAAGUCAUAAUGAGUCAACACUUGAUCCGAUUGCAACAGGUUCUUCGCCUUGCACAAUGCCUCUGUGUGCUCCGGCUUCCAAACCCACUCUGCUCCUGUGUCUAAGAGGCGAUGUAAGGGCUCCAGGACCGUGGCCUUAUUAGGCAGGAAUCUUUCAUAAAAAUUCAAAAUACCUAAAAAUGCCUGCAGUUCCUUCUUGCUUGUGGGUAUCGGAACCUCUCUGACGGCUUCCACCUUCGCAUCUGUAGGAUGCACUCCUGCACUAUCAAUUUGGUACCCCAAGAAUAUAACUGACUCCUCUUGAGUCGCAACCCUGCUUUAUCAAUCCUAGCCAAAACCACCUGUACCCUGUCCCAAUGUUCCUGCACGUCUUUCCCAGAGACCAAAAUGUCGUCCAACAUGACCACCACACCUGGAAUACCUGCUAGCAAGGUUUCCAUAAGCCGCUGAAAGAUAGCCGGGCACCCGCUUGCCCCGAAAGGUAGGCGCCUGACCUGAAACCACCCUUUCAUGGUGUUUACAGUUAACAUUGCUGCUGUCAUAUCAUCCACCGCUACCUGCAGGUAGGAAUCUGCUAAUUGAGCUUCGUAAAAACUGCCCCUCCAGCUAAGCUAGCGAAAGCUUCAUUAGUUGUAGGUAACUGAUAGAUGUUGGCUUUGCAAACUUUGUUCACUGUAAUUUUAUAGUCCUCACAGAGCCUGACCUUCCCAUUUGCCUUACGAAUGGGCACAAUAGGUGUCACCCAAGUGGAGAAUUCCACUGGUUCAUACACUCCUUGAUCAACCAGUUUGUCAAUCUCUGUACUCACCAAGUCCCGCAAUGCGAAAGGUACUCCCCGACUCUUCCGGAAAACUGGCGUGGCUCCAGGUUUCAGCUCCAUAGUCACUGGGGGCCCCACAUAUUUUCCUAACUCCACACUGUCGAACACCCAUGCAUGGUGCUGCACUGCAUGUGGUAUUUCUUGGUGUAUUAGUUGGAAAAUGCCCUCCACUUUGAUUCCAAGUGGUUCUAACCAAUUCCUGCCCACGAGACUUGGUCCUUUGCCUUCAGCCACUAAAACUGGUAGUCUACAUUGCCUAGUCUUUGUCUUUACCAAUACUUCUGGGGGUCCCCCUGAUUCCCAAUCUUUCCUGUGACCAAGUAUGCAGGACUCAGUUUGCAUCUGCUAGUGCUGGUAGGUCCAGCCACAAUCUCUUGUAAGUUUCGAAACUGAUGAUUGAGAAGCUCGCUCUUGUGUCAAUCUCCAUGGGAAGUCUCUGACCAUCUAGCCACACAUUUAGGAUAAUUGGUGGUUCACUUGUACACCUACUAGCCGUUGUCUGAAACACGCUGUAAUCUCCAGUGUUGGGUUGGUUUUUCAAAUUAAAAGUCCCUGCCGUGUCCGUGGCAUGCUUCCCAGACUUGCCCAUCUCCUUCCGGUCUCGCGCUCCGCUGUUCACUCCUGCAUUCCCCUUCCUCUUCUUUGUAAAACACGCUCGUUCUAGGUGCCCUGUUCGAGCACAACAAUUGCACACUGUCUGAGUGUGUCAGCAGUGGUUUGGGCUGUGGUCCCCGUUGCACCUCCAACAAGCGCGCCUGUCAGCUGCAAGUUGUUGGUUCACCUGAACUGGGCUUUGCUUCUGGUCAUCCCUAACCUCUUUUUUGUCAUACCUGAUGCGCCCUACCUUUAGCACUGCCCCCGCAGUUGGGCUCGGCUGUGCCUGUAGAUCAUGGACAUUGCGGCCUGUGGCUUCCGCAGCUGUUGCCAACUCAACCGCUUCCUUAAAUGUUAAGUUGCCAGGAGUGUGUGUUGCACCUUUGUAUCACGAGCACCACACACCACCCGGUCUUGCAACAUGCGAUCUAAAUCCGCAAAAUUGCAGUGGAUGCUAAGUCUUCACAAGUCCGCCAUGAAUUCUGCCAUAGAUUCUCCUUUGUGCUGAUUUCUGUUAUGGAAUUUGAAUGAUUCCACAAUCUCACUUGGUUUAGGUUCGCAGUGUUGUGUGAGUACCGCCAAAAUGUUGGGAAAUGCAACUUCGGACGUUGGUUUCAAGGCCACUAAUGAGGUCACGAGGUUAUACAGCUCUGCUCCAUCAAUGGUAAAAAAUAUUGCCCUUUUUUCAUUAUUGUCUGUACGUAAUUUUGUUCGCCACAAAAUAAUAUCCCAAACGUUCUGAGUAAGUGUGCCACGUUUCACGCCCUGGAACGAAUUCCCCAAACGCCGGAAACAUCGCCAUACUUUUUCCCCGCACGCACGUCCGGGUCGUAGAAUACAAAUCCUCGUCGCCACUAUUGUGUCCUUCCUGACAUGCUGUUAGUGCUUCGCCUGCUGUUCAACAUCUUCCUUGUGUCCUUCACUCCCGACUCCGAUAUCAACACACUCAACAGAACGACUUCACAAACACCAUCUAGCCGACCCCCGCAGGGCCACCAACCUCUCCACUACACACGUCCUACACGACAUAUAGUAUGACAAUGUUGACAAGUGUGGUUAUCAGGGAAGGCAAAUGAUUAUGUUGAAGACAAAUGUAGGUACUUAAAAUAUAUGAGAAUAAUGUGUCUGUGGUAGACAUCCAUGAAUUACAUAUUGUAGGCUACUGAACAACACCUUUAAAAACAACACAGAAUAAAAUUUCAAGUCUAUACAAGAAUUCAUUUACAGCAAAAUCAUUCAGGGUGGAAUUUCGAAUGUGGUAAUUUAUAAGCGAAUUUAAUUUAAAGAAGAAUAUUGGUGACAGUUUUAUAUCUCAUGUUUUAAUAACUUGCAACCUUUUUUUUUAUACAGAUUACCUACAAUAUUAAAUUUUUUUAACAUCUGUUUUACUUAGUGGAUUUAUUAAAAUAUUAAGACAAUGAAAAAAAAAAAUCUUUACUGCUCCACCUUUUUCUGAUAAGCAAAGAGUUAAAACUAAAAUAUAUUCACUUUAUUUUAAAUGUAAAAUUGUGAAUGAAAAAUUCACACCACUUGCAUUAGUGGAUUUAGUGAUAUAUGUAACCAUAAUAAGACCAAUGUAUCCUUUUUUAAACAUAUCAGGGGUAAAAUUUAAAAAAAUAAUAAUGAUAAACUUUUGACGACAGUCGUCGUACCCUCCCAGAUGCAGAGGCCGUACCUGGCCACCGACGUGGGCCUGAGGUAGUGUGUUUUUCCCCAGUGAAGUGCGACGGCCAGGGACGCACCCGCGUGCGCCCUAGCGGGCCAAUGAGCCUUUUUGUGCAAUAGAUAAUUCUGUGUUUGUAUAUUUUUCCCAAAUGGUCACGGGCCUCAACGAGUAUGUAAAUAAUGUAAACGUAAUUUAUUAAUUCUGUAAAUUUGCUGUUGAUUAAUGUUUCGUUUAGCUGUGUAAAUAUUCUGUGUUUUCUCAAGUGUGCUAGUAUGUAAUUGCAGCCUGGCGCGCCGUGGGGCGGGACCUUCUCCCACGCCGGCCGAUUUCUCCUCCCCUCCCCAGCAGCCCGCGAGCUCCGGCCCGCUGGCGGGCGGGGAAGGGCAGUCGUGCUCAGGGCUCGAACCGAGACAGUCGUGUACGCCGCUCCGCGCUGCUCGCGAAGCGCGUACCUUGAGCUCGUGGCCAGUCUUACGUUUCUAGUUCACGGAUUGUCGCGGCAGCCGAGCUGCCUCCGCGAGUCAUUCGCCAUCUUACUGAAUUUACUACGAGUUUUUCGAGUGACGUUACCAGCCGAGAGUUCCAGAACACGGACGUGUAAUUACGGGUCUCAGAACCUUCGCCGUCUUACGAAACGUUACGUAACGGGCCGCGCAUGUAUUGCGCUUCUUCACGGCGUAAUCUUAAACGGGGUCAGUAUUACGUUGGAAAAUUCCCAACCUGUGUCAGGACGUCUUAACGGACAGUACGGUUUUACGGGAGUCCGGGUCGCCGCGGGAAGGGCGCUUGUUCUGCGACGGUUCCGCCAGGCUGCGGCAGGCUCCAAAACGUCAAUAAAAGAGGCUCGUGAAAU